AGGGGGGCCUGGGUUGAGGGGAAAAGAGGGGGCCUGGGUUGAGGGGAAAAGAGGGGGCCUGCGCAGUGUAAUUAACCAAAAAACCUCUGGGCCAUCGAGACACAGCUCUCACCUAAGCUUCUGCCAUAUUGUAAUAGUGAGUUCUAACAAGCCUUUAAAUGAAACUCGUCGUAGUUAAACACUAAUAUCCAUCCCCCCUCCUCCUGUACUGCUGACCGGCAGCCAUUUUAAACACUAAUAUCCAUCCCCCCUCCUCCUGUACUGCUGACCGGCAGCCAUUUUGAACACUAAUAUCCAUCCCCCUCCUCCUGUACAGCUGACCGGCAGCCAUUUUGAAACUGGUCGUAGUUAAACACUAAUAUCCAUCCCCCCUCCUCCUGUACUGCUGACCGGCAGCCAUUUUGAAACACUAAUAUCCAUCCCCCCUCCUCCUGCACUGCUGACCGGCAGCCAUUUUAAACACUAAUAUCCAUCCCCCCUCCUCCUGUACUGCUGACCGGCAGCCAUUUUGAAACACUAAUAUCCAUCCCCCCGCCUCCUGUACUGCUGACCGGCAGCCAUUUUAAACACUAAUAUCCAUCCCCCCUCCUCCUGUACUGCUGACCGGCAGCCAUUUUAAACACUAAUAUCCAUCCCCCUCCUCCUGUACUGCUGACCGGCAGCCAUUUUGAAACUCGUCGUAGUUAAACACUAAUAUCCAUCCCCCCUCCUCCUGUACUGCUGACCGGCAGCCAUUUUGAAACUCGUCGCAGUUAAACACUAAUAUCCAUCCCCCUCCUCCUGUACUGCUGACCGGCAGCCAUUUUGAAACUCGUCGCAGUUAAACACUAAUAUCCAUCCCCCUCCUCCUGUACUGCUGACCGGCAGCCAUUUUGAAACUCGUCGCAGUUAAACACUAAUAUCCAUCCCCCUCCUCCUGUACUGCUGACCGGCAGCCAUUUUAAUGACAACCUUUCUUGGUAGAGCAGGGAGAAGUCUCCCUACCAGCGGACAGAUGUGGUUCUAUCUCUGUGGAUGUUUGUGUAAUAUUUGCUGUUAAAAAUGAAGGCUAUUUUGUAAAAGGGAAAAAGACUGGUUGUGUUGUCUGUUUUUUGUCUCCGGUGUUCAGUGUAUUUGCAGAUGCUAACGUUAAUAUAAUAGUAUACAACAGGUUCAUGUUCAUUUAGCAAAGCCUGGGUUCCAUUGAAGGGAAGAGUCCCUGUUUGAUUCCACCAUUGUGAUUAUACUGGUCUCUAGUGGUUUCUAUGAGGUUCUAGUGGUCUCUAGUGGUUUCUAUGGGUUUCUAGUGGUCUCUAGUGGUUUCUACUGGUCUCUAGUGGUCUCUAGUGGUUUAUAUGGGUUUCUACUGGUCUCUAGUGGUUUAUAUGGGUUUCUACUGGUCUCUACUGGUCUCUAGUGGUUUCUACUGGUUUCUACUGGUUUCUACUGGUCUCUAGUGGUUUCUAUGGGUUUCUAGUGGUUUCUAUGGGGUUCUAGUGGUCUCUAGUGGUUUCUAUGGGUUUCUAGUGGUUUCUAUGGGUUUCUAGUGGUCUCUAGUGGUUUAUAUGGGUUUCUACUGGUCUCUAGUGGUUUCUACUGGUUUCUACUGGUCUCUAGUGGUCUCUAAUGGAUGUCCACCUGAACAUUUUUCUGACACUGCAGUGUUGCACUUUCUUAUCUACCAAGUAGAUUAUUAUACGUUUUGAUAAUCAAAUUAUUUCUGUAAUAAAAAUCCAACAACAAGAAACAUCUGAAUAUCUGUGUGUGGACAUUGUAAAGCGUUUGUAGACGGUAAAGUUGUGAAGUCUGUUGGCUGUUGCAAAGUUAUGUAUUUUCUGAGAUCAUUGUCUUCAAAGGGGUAUGUAAAAGAAAAUAUAUAUAUAUUCACUGCGUUUCAUCUUCUUUCAGGAAAUGCCACUCGCGGCUUCCUGAAUUCUACAACGCAGCACAUUGUGUGCAGGUCAUAGGUACUCUAGGUUUGAUUGUAAACACACCUGUUGGACAGUCACAAUCCCUUUCUGUUGCUCGUCCCAUCUUUACUGAACUCAAUUGUGGCUAAAUAGUUUUUAUAAUGCUUGUGUUAGCUGUACUCCAACUAUUGCCUCACUAGUACAGUUUAUAACGUAUCCUGCUCCAGUUAUGUGUAAAUAUAAAGUCACAUUAUUAUGAAGGAAAAUGAAUUGAAGGGCAUAUUGACUUCAUGUGUGUAGGAAUUUAUAUGAUUGAGUUGAUAUAUUAUUGUAAAAUGUUUUUCUGUUGGGAGGUGUACAGUAUACUGCAUGAUUAUAAACUAUCAAUAAUCUCUGUUGGGAGGCGUACAGUAUACUGCAUGAUUAUAAACUAUCAAUAAUCUCUGUUGGGAGGCGUACAGUAUACUGCAUGAUUAUAAACUAUCAAUAAUCUCUGUUGGGAGGCGUACAGUAUACUGCAUGAUUAUAAACUAUCAAUAAUCUCUGUUGGGAGGCGUACAGUAUACUGCAUGAUUAUAAACUAUGAAUAAUCUCUGUUGGGAGGCGUACAGUAUACUGCAUGAUUAUAAACUAUGAAUAAUCUCUGUUGGGAGGCGUACAGUAUACUGCAUGAUUAUAAACUAUGAAUAAUCUCUGUUGGGAGGCGUACAGUAUACUGCAUGAUUAUAAACUAUGAAUAAUCUCUGUUGGGAGGUGUACAGUAUACUGCAUGAUUAUAAACUAUGAAUAAUCUCUGUUGGGAGGCGUACAGUAUACUGCAUGAUUAUAAACUAUGAAUAAUCUCUGUUGGGAGGCGUACAGUAUACUGCAUGAUUAUAAACUAUGAAUAAUCUCUGUUGGGAGGCGUACAGUAUACUGCAUGAUUAUAAACUAUCAAUAAUCUCUGUUGGGAGGUGUACAGUAUACUGCAUGAUUAUAAACUAUCAAUAAUCUCUGUUGGGAGGCGUACAGUAUACUGCAUGAUUAUAAACUAUCAAUAAUCUCUGUUGGGAGGCGUACAGUAUACUGCAUGAUUAUAAACUAUCAAUAAUCUCUGUUGGGAGGCGUACAGUAUACUGCAUGAUUAUAAACUAUCAAUAAUCUCUGUUGGGAGGCGUACAGUAUACUGCAUGAUUAUAAACUAUCAAUAAUCUCUGUUGGGAGGCGUACAGUAUACUGCAUGAUUAUAAACUAUCAAUAAUCUCUGUUGGGAGGCGUACAGUAUACUGCAUGAUUAUAAACUAUCAAUAAUCUCUGUUGGGAGGCGUACAGUAUACUGCAUGAUUAUAAACUAUGAAUCUCUGUUGGGAGGCAUAUAUUGAAUAUAUCUUCACAGUCCUCAUGUUUUCUGCAGUGGGGGGGUACACCCCAAAUGGCCCCCUAUUCCCUAUAUAAUGAGCCCAUAGAGCGCUGGUUAGAAGUAGUUCACUCUACAGGGGAUAGGAGGCCAUUUUGGACGGACUCCUCAUUGUUGUUGUUGUUCUCCUGUUGGUUUCCAUGGUUUCACUCUGUUACCUCCUUUCUUACUGCCGGAUACAAAACAGCUGUGGGGACAAUGUCUUGCUGUUGAUCGAUGUACAGUCCGUUAUUUUAUCAUUGUGUAUGUAUGUUUGUCCUCGGUCAACUUAAAUCUCAAUAAACUAUGUGAAUAAACUGAA